CUGGUUGAUCCUGCCAGUAGCAUAUGCUUGUCUCAAAGAUUAAGCCAUGCAUGUCUAAGUACGCACGGCCGGUACAGUGAAACUGCGAAUGGCUCAUUAAAUCAGUUAUGGUUCCUUUGGUCGCUCGCUCCUCUCCUACUUGGAUAACUGUGGUAAUUCUAGAGCUAAUACAUGCCGACGGGCGCUGACCCCCUUCGCGGGGGGGAUGCGUGCAUUUAUCAGAUCAAAACCAACCCGGUCAGCCUCCUCCCGGCCCCGGCCGGGGGGGUGGGCGCCGGCGGCUUUGGUGACUCUAGAUAACCUCGGGCCGAUCGCACGCCCUCCGUGGCGGCGACGACCCAUUCGAACGUCUGCCCUAUCAACUUUCGAUGGUAGUCGCCGUGCCUACCAUGGUGACCACGGGUGACGGGGAAUCAGGGUUCGAUUCCGGAGAGGGAGCCUGAGAAACGGCUACCACAUCCAAGGAAGGCAGCAGGCGCGCAAAUUACCCACUCCCGACCCGGGGAGGUAGUGACGAAAAAUAACAAUACAGGACUCUUUCGAGGCCCUGUAAUUGGAAUGAGUCCACUUUAAAUCCUUCCGCGAGGAUCCAUUGGAGGGCAAGUCUGGUGCCAGCAGCCGCGGUAAUUCCAGCUCCAAUAGCGUAUAUUAAAGUUGCUGCAGUUAAAAAGCUCGUAGUUGGAUCUUGGGAGCGGGCGGGCGGUCCGCCGCGAGGCGAGCCACCGCCCGUCCCCGCCCCUUGCCUCUCGGCGCCCCCUCGAUGCUCUUGAAAAACAAAAAGGAAUGCCCUUAGGGAACUCAGAAUAUUUGAGGGAAUUCCUGUGAAAGCAGAUAGGAUCAGCUCCAACAAGAAGAAACCACAACCUAUAAGAUAGCAGCAGCUUGAGUCUCAAAGUAUAUAGCUGCAGCAAACAUUAGACGAUCAGUUGGAGAUGAAACAGCAGGGCGUUUUCCAGUUUGACUGAGUAGCACUGAACUGUGAUAAUUGUCCAGAGGUCAAGUGUUUAGUGUGGACAUUGGAGCUAGAAGGAUAGAGCAAUAGGAGCUGCUGCAGAACCCUUCACAGCAUCAUGUCUCACCUCUCCCCACCUAAUCCCUUGAGGCAGACUACUGUAUAUGCAACAGGCAGCUGGAUAGGGAUUCUUAGAUACAAAGAAGACUAAAACAGUAACCUCCAAAUCCAAAUAUUUGAAGAUAAUACCAUGAGAUAGGAGGUACUGAACUCAACGAAUUAAGAAUUAACAAAGAGGAGUUCCUGUUGUGGCACAGUGGUUAACGAAUCCGACUAGGAACCAUGAGGUUGCGGGUUCGGUCCCUGCCCUUGCUCGGUGGGUUAACAAUCCGGCGUUGCCGUGAGCUGUGGUGUAGGUUGCAGACGUGGCUCGGAUCCUGCGUUGCUGUGGCUCUGGUGUAGGCAGGUAGCUACAGCUCUGAUUAGACCCCUAGCCUGGGAACCUCC
rnacentral:rRNA from 1 species